UACGGAGGAUGCGAGCGUUAUCCGGAUUCAUUGGGUUUAAAGGGUGCGCAGGCGGGCACUUAAGUCAGGGGUGAAAUACUACGGCUCAACCGUGGAACUGCCUUUGAUACUGAUUGUCUUGAAUUUAGUUGAAGUGGGCGGAAUGUAGCAUGUAGCGGUGAAAUGCAUAGAUAUGCUACAGAACACCGAUAGCGAAGGCAGCUCACUAAGUUAAUAUUGACGCUCAUGCACGAAAGCGUGGGGAUCAAACAGG
rnacentral:rRNA from 1 species